rnacentral:misc_RNA from 1 species
AACCGAAGUAAUUUUAUAUUUAUUCCAUUUGAACUCAGUUAAAUACCUCAAAAAGGGAGGAUAGCCAGCAUUUGCAGUCAAAAUAAAAGAGAAACAAAAGGAUCAGCAUGUGUGAAAGCAUGUUUAAAAUACAUAUGAGAACAAAAAUUGCCAGAAAAAUUAACGCAUUCGCGAGUCAAAAAGGGGCCCGUUUUAUGAGGAAAGCACUUUCUGAACCUCAGAUGUGACCUCUUUUGGAGGUUUUUCUGCAUGAAGAUCUGCAACAACACCCUUGUUCUUAUAAUAAUCAAUUACCUGCAUUUCAAAUGUUCAAAACCCAUCAGAUUUUCAAAGUGAGCAACCAAAAGACAGGAUGAUGUAACUAGACAAAACAGCAAUAUAUCAAUGCUGCAAGACAUGGACAGACAACUAACCAUGGUGCUUGAAUUCGAGGAGCACCAGUACACAACACAUGAAGCGUAAUCCACAUUAACGGUUUGAAAGAGUCAUCAGAAGAUUGACUUGUAAACAUCAUUGGAUGACAAACAAAGGGCUAAGGUUCAAAAUACAAGGUGAAAGUUGAUCUAGCUUGCAUGUUCCCAUGUAAAUUACAACGAAACUGAUUAUUUCAAAUUCUCAUGAUAAUGCAUGAAGACAAGCCUCAUUUUAAUGGCUGCAAGCACAAGUUCCAAUCACAGUUAAAAAGCAUUGGCUAUUACCAAUGUUAAGCUUAAGUCCAAAGAGCCUUGAAGGCUAUGCUAAGAUAGGCUGAGUGGCCGAACCAAGGAAUGUGCUUUUUCAUUGUGUUCACUAAAGAUGGAUAUCAAACUGCACCAAAGAACAGUUUGGUUGGUUGUUGGUGGCUAGAAGCCAGCAGCCAACCAUAUGCUUUGAUACCUUGAAAUUGGUGUUACACUCUAUGUAUAAAUUACAGUCAGCUAUUUGCACUUCUCAAAAGUGCAUGGUUAAUGUCCUCAUCUGCCCCUCUCUAGCACCAAGGUUUCACAGGCAUAUUCCUUCUACCAUGGAAAUAACUAGUAACUACAAACUAGUGCAGCACUCCAUAUACUAUUGCAUAACACUCUUAACUCUUCUAUCCUAUGUCACCAGAAGUAAUGAAAUAAAAUGAAAGCAUACUGGUUCAGUUUGCUUGUGAAAUGCCUCCAGCCUUGACUUAAGAACUGCUGCAGUAUCAUCUUUACGUUGAAUCAAAGGCUCUCCGCUUACAUCAUCUACACCAGGAACCUUGGGAGGUGAAAACUUUGUAUGGUAGGUUCUACCACUCGAAGGGUGGAUCCAGCGACCAGUAAUUCUUUCCUCCAAAAUUGCAUCAUCAAUUGCAAAAUUGAGCACCUUGUCAAUUUUAGCUUCCUGCCUCCCAAGCAUCUCAUCAAGCUUCUGUGCUUGGACCACAGUUCUAGGAAAUCCAUCAAGAAUGAAACCUUUUUGGCAUGAAGGCUUCUUCAUUGCUUCAUCUAUAAUGCCAACAACCAAGUCAUCAGAUACAAGUUCACCCUUGUCCAUAGCCUCCUUAGCCUUAACACCAAGAGGGGUUUUAGCAGCAACAGCAGCUCUCAACAUAUCACCAGUAGCCAAGUGGCAUAAGCAGUACUCAUCCUUAAUAAUUGGUGAUUGAGUACCUUUACCUGAUCCAGGAGGACCGAUGAGAAUGAGGCGCCUAUCAGGCUUAGUGGAGCACUUCAUGCGACGGAGGAGCUCCGUCAUGAGAUCCACAGAGGGCACAUCUUCCAAGGUCGCGGCUGAGCUGCUGGCCAUUAAGCUUAAAUUUUACCAGUUUUCCGUUUACUUCCCAGCAAAACGCAGAGAAUUUUCCAAAGGUAUGCGGUAUGCGUGUGGGAGGAGGGGUGGCAACUGGCAGGGGUUAGGUGCUUAAUACGUUGUUCGGACCUUCCAAUGCUUG